GCUUGUGUUUACUGGCGGUGCUGAUCCCUUCUGCCUCUGUGUGCGUUUGUCCCCGGGGCUGAAUGACAAAGAUAAAAUUCUCCUUUUCCAUCUGCGUGAAUAUCUUUGUGAUUGUCUCAGCUUUGCUUUCCACGAGGGGAUGCUGCAAAGGGCUGAACCAAAACGCAGACCUGUGCCUGCACGUUGAAACCAUCAGCGUCAGGAGAACAUCGCUGUAUGAAAUUCCUCAGCUCAGUCUGCAAGAGUCCAGAUGUGCUAAAGGCCUCGGUGCAACCAAGCAGCUGUGCUGCUACCCCACUUCUUCCACACGUGGACCAGAGGCCACUGCACUAAGCAGGCACUCAGCCCCCAACUUCUCCCCCUGGAGAUGCACAAACCCUGCAGCCCUGUGGCUACCUGGAGCCCAAGGAGCUUUGAGUCACUCACAUCUCAGCACUCUGAGGUUAUAAGGGCUGCUCAGUGGGAUGGGCAGAAGAAGCACACAGACCAGGAAGCGACUGCUGAAACCGCCGGUGAUUAAAAUGCAAUAAAAUGUUUUCCUUCUGCUGCCGAGCAAGGAGCGCGGCACGCGUUUUGCUGAGGAAGCAGAAGUGGUUGUGUUUGCUGAAUGAGCAGCUAAUGAAAAGCAUUUCAAGCAGGAAGCAACACUGAUGAAGAUUAGGAGCCUGCUUAAAUCUAGGAGAAUGAAAUGGCCCGGGCCGGAUUCUCCUGUUUUACACCUGAUUUGGCAUUGAUUUACUCCACUCUACACCAGUAGGAGUGGAAAGGAGUGGGAGCACCACUCGGUGCCAGAAGCUGCUCGGGAAUGUGUCUCUGUCAGCAGAACAGAUCCUUCCCGCAGCCCUGGACAGGGCAGAUCACAGCCGGGGGGAUAUCAGCCCUGUGGCCGCCGUUGUGCUGCCGCCAGUCCCAGAGUGGGAGUUUCCCAUUGCACCCAUUCCUCCUGGGAGCCCGGCUGUGCAGCUCAGCCCUGUGCUGGCAUCCACGUCCUCUUUAGGUGGGGAUUUGUAUCCUCUCCUCCUCCUGUUGCUGUUAUGAGCCAGACCGCAGCCAGACACGGGUCCCCGUUGUGCUGAGACACGCAGUACUCAGGAGCAGGAGGAUGGAUUCUGCUGGGGAAGGAAAUGGGAAGAGAGCUCAGGGGAUGCCUCCAACACGGAAGGCUCUUCUGCAGAUUUGCUUUCAGGCACAGAAGCCUCCAACCCGCUUCACCAGCGGAAGGAACAUCGCAGUGAGACUGGGCAGCCCUCACAUCACUGCCCCAGGGCAGGAUCCUGCGGGGAAUGGGGGUCAAGCAGGAAACCAGGACCACACAGGGACCCUGUGCAAACCCGUGCUGCUGGGGAGAUUCAGUCCAGACUUGGCUAGUGCUGCA
rnacentral:lncRNA from 1 species